rnacentral:rRNA from 1 species
ACAUCCAGCGAACUUGGCAGAGAUGCCUUGGUGCCUUCGGGAACGCUGAGACAGGUGCUGCAUGGCUGUCGUCAGCUCGUGUUGUGAAAUGUUGGGUUAAGUCCCGCAACGAGCGCAACCCUUUAUCCUUUGUUGCCAGCGAUUCGGUCGGGAACUCAAAGGAGACUGCCGGUGAUAAACCGGAGGAAGGUGGGGAUGACGUCAAGUCAUCAUGGCCCUUACGAGUAGGGCUACACACGUGCUACAAUGGCGCAUACAAAGAGAAGCGACCUCGCGAGAGCAAGCGGACCUCAUAAAGUGCGUCGUAGUCCGGAUCGGAGUCUGCAACUCGACUCCGUGAAGUCGGAAUCGCUAGUAAUCGUGGAUCAGAAUGCCACGGUGAAUACGUUCCCGGGCCUUGUACACACCGCCCGUCACACCAUGGGAGUGGGUUGCAAAAGAAGUAGGUAGCUUAACCUUCGGGAGGGCGCUUACCACUUUGUGAUUCAUGACUGGGGUGAAGUCGUAACAAGGUAGGCGUAGCGAG